GACGAACGCUGGCGGCGUGCUUAACACAUGCAAGUCGAACGGAAAGGCCCCUUUGGGGUUCCCCGGGGGGCGAACGGGGGGGAAAAACGGGGUUAACCUCCCCUUAACUUCGGGAAAACUUCAGGAAACUGGGCUAAAUACCGAUUAGAAAACCUUGCUCAAGGUUGGGGGUGGGAAAGUUUCGGCGGUUUUGGAUUGACUCGCGGCUUAUCAGCUUGUUGGUGGGGUAGUGGCUUACCAAGGCUUUGACGGGUAGCCGGCCUGAGAGGGCGACCGGCAACAGUGGGACUGAGAUACGGCCCAGACUCCUACGGGAGGCAGCAGUGGGGAAUAUUGCACAAUGGGCGGAAGCCUGAUGCAGCAACGCCGCGUGCGGGAUGACGGCCUUCGGGUUGUAAACCGCUUUCAGCAGGGGCGAAGCUUGUGGUGACGGUACCUGCAGAAGAAGCACCGGCUAACUACGUG
rnacentral:rRNA from 1 species